CACGUAGGGUGCGAGCGUUGUCCGGAAUUACUGGGCGUAAAGAGCUCGUAGGUGGUUUGUCGCGUUGUUCGUGAAAACUCACAGCUCAACUGUGGGCGUGCGGGCGAUACGGGCAGACUAGAGUACUGCAGGGGAGACUGGAAUUCCUGGUGUAGCGGUGAAAUGCGCAGAUAUCAGGAGGAACACCAGUAGCGAAGGCGGCACUCUGGGCCGGUACUGACGCUGAGGAGCGAAAGCGUGGGGAGCGAACAGG
rnacentral:rRNA from 1 species